CUCCCGUGGGCGUGACCUGGCCAGAUCGGGAGCGAUGCACUCCGGCGUAGAUGCGAACGGCCUGGAAAGCGAAAAUCGACAUUAAAACAAAAAAUUAUAAAUUGAUUUCAUAAGGAACACACUGGUAAACAAAACCAAAGAUGAUGUCUUGUCCUAGGAUGAUGUAUUAAAAGCAGACAUCUCACCUUCUUUUCCUCCUCGCGUUUGUGCUCGUAUCCUCCCACAGGAUCGUCACUGAUGUAGAAAGGAUGGUACUUGGCCGGAAUGUCCGGAUUGUUGCCGCCCUCCACCACAAAGGUGUAGGUCCUGCCGCGCACCACAUGGAUCUCGGGGAUAAGUAGUCCGUUGAUGUACCAGGAAAUGCCCCAGCCGACGUGACCUGAGAUAUACGCAAAAUAUAAUUGAAGACUCACCUGUGAUGGCUGGAUAACCGUGUUUGCCGCCCGUGGGACCCAUCUGGGCGUAGAAGACUCCGUCCUCUGGCUCGUGGCACUGGAUGGCUGGGAUGUCCCAGGCGCCAUUGCUGUUCACUGGCUUCGGUGUGG